rnacentral:rRNA from 1 species
UACGGGGGGGGCAAGCGUUGUUCGGAAUUACUGGGCGUAAAGGGCCAGUAGGCGGCCAACUAAGUCGGAUGUGAAAUCCCCAGGCUUAACCUGGGAACUGCAUCCGAUACUGGAUGGCUUGAAUUCGGGAGAGGGAUGCAGAAUUCCAGGUGUAGCGGUGAAAUGCGUAGAUAUCAGGAGGAACACCGGUGGCGAAGGCGGGUCUCUGGGCAGUAACUGACGCUGAGGAGCGAAAGCGUGGGGAGCAAACAGG